rnacentral:lncRNA from 1 species
CUUGAUUUGCAUGGGGCUGAAACAGGAACGAGAAUUCAGUCCAGAGACAGGGUUCAGAGCUGUCAGAAGAACUGAAGUAAUUUGAGGUGGGUCCUGAAGCUAGAUGAGAAACAGGCUAUGAGACCUUGGAGAGAAAAUCACCAUGAGGGAGAGAAGAGAACAGCAAAGCGGUCUGACUGAGCAGGGAGCACACCUGCACUCACCAAGGCUGUAAACCCAUGAGGGCAGAAACUGGGUCUUCUUUUUAUUGGUAUCCCCAAAAUGCACCGAAAUGUCUGGGCACCAGUACAUGCUAAGAAGUGUUACAGAUGAUCAUGAAGGAGGUGUCUAUUGGGAGCCCUGCUGUGGUCUGCUCCAGAACAAAUGCUCUGUCCUU